rnacentral:rRNA from 1 species
UGCCAGCAUCCGCGGUACUACUGAUUGAGCUAGCGUUUUUCGGAUUUACUGGGCGUAAAGAGCGUGUAGGCGGUUCGGUAAGUCGGGUGUGAAAACUCAAGGCUCAACCUUGAGAUGCCACUCGAUACUGCUGUGACUAGAGUCCGGUAGAGGAGUGUGGAAUUCCUGGUGUAGCGGUGAAAUGCCCAGAUAUCAGGAGGAACACCAGCGGCGAAGGCGGCACUCUGGGCCGGUACUGACGCUGAGGAGCGAAAGCAUGGGGAGCAAACAGGAUUAGAUA